GGCAGCGCGGACUUCGGUCUGGCGGCGAGUGGCGAACGGGUGAGUAAUGUAUCGGAACGUGCCCAGUAGCGGGGGAUAACUACUCGAAAGAGUAGCUAAUACCGCAUACGCCCUACGGGGGAAAGGGGGGGAUCGAAAGACCUCUCACUAUUGGAGCGGCCGAUAUCGGAUUAGCUAGUUGGUGAGGUAAAGGCUCACCAAGGCGACGAUCCGUAGCUGGUUUGAGAGGACGACCAGCCACACUGGGACUGAGACACGGCCCAGACUCCUACGGGAGGCAGUAGUGGGGAAUUUUGGACAAUGGGGGAAACCCUGAUCCAGCCAUUCCGCGUGUGCGAUGAAGGCCUUCGGGUUGUAAAGCACUUUUGGCAGGAAAGAGAUCGCACCAAUUAAUACUUGGUGUGGAUGACGGUACCUGCAGAAUAAGCACCGGCUAACUACGUGCCAGCAGCCGCGGUAAUACGUAGGGUGCAAGCGUUAAUCGGAAUUACUGGGCGUAAAGCGUGCGCAGGCGGUUCGGAAAGAGAGGUGUGAAAUCCCAGGGCUCAACCUUGGAACUGCACUUUUAACUACCGAGCUAGAGUAUGUCAGAGGGGGGUGGAAUUCCGCGUGUAGCAGUGAAAUGCGUAGAUAUGCGGAGGAACACCGAUGGCGAAGGCAGCCCCCUGGGAUAAUACUGACGCUCAUGCACAAAAGCGUG
rnacentral:rRNA from 1 species